GGGGUUGUAUGUUGGAGGAGGGAAUAUGUAGGAAAUCAGGGUGACAUUUAAAGCUGAGGGUGCAUAGUGUCCCCCACCAGUGUUUCAGGGAGAAAUUUGAACUCGCAUUUGCACACAAACAGCAGGAUUUUAAGAGAGCCCAGGUGAAGGCGUCACCCUCAGAAUGGAAGGGGUGGGGAGAAGGGCCGGGGUGCAGUCUCAGGGAGGAGGUACCCUUAGCUGCAGAAUCACCGUCCUGCACGUGUGUACCUCUGCAAUGUGGUCAAAUAGAACGGCUGUGGACGCGACACCACCCAUUUGCCUUUUAAGUUAGCAAGCCCAAAGUAUGCUUUAAUGUUUACUUUUUAAGAUUUUUAGAAAAGGUAGAAGACGACUCUAUUUCCUAAUAUGGUAAUUACUGCUUUUGUCAAAAUGUGAAUGCUGCGUGCACAUUUCUGCAAUAGCAUUAGUGAACACCAUGUUGAAAUCACAUUUUUUUUUCCCUUUUCCUCCAAUUUUGUGGGAUUCUCGUUCCUUGUUGAGGCACCCUUGGCUAAUGGGAAAAGCACUGGAUCUGUGAAAAGAUGGCCAUCUCUGAACCAGGGAGAGGAUCCUCACCAGACACCAAAUCUGAUGUCUUGAUCUUGGACUUCUUAGCCUUCAAAAUGAAAAAUAUCUGCAGUGAAUAUCUUUGGACCUACUUUCCUGAGCACUUACUAUGUGCUAGGUGCUCUUCAGGUGCUCCUAAGGAAUAAUGCCAUUCCCCUCAAUGGUCG
rnacentral:lncRNA from 1 species